rnacentral:rRNA from 1 species
AGAGUUUGAUCAUGGCUCAGAUUGAACGCUGGCGGCAUGCCUUACACAUGCAAGUCGAACGCGAAAGGGGGGCAACCCCCGAGUAGAGUGGCGAACGGGUGAGUAAUACAUCGGAACGUACCCAGUAGCGGGGGAUAACCUCUCGAAAGAGAGGCUAAUACCGCAUACGACCUACGGGUGAAAGAGGGGGAUCGCAAGACCUCUCACUAUUGGAGCGGCCGAUGUCGGAUUAGCUAGUUGGUGGGGUAAAAGCCUACCAAGGCCACGAUCCGUAGCUGGUCUGAGAGGACGGCCAGCCACACUGGAACUGAGACACGGUCCAGACUCCUACGGGAGGCAGCAGUGGGGAAUUUUGGACAAUGGGCGAAAGCCUGAUCCAGCCAUGCCGCGUGAGUGAAGAAGGCCUUCGGGUUGUAAAGCUCUUUCGGCUGGGACGAAAAGGUCCGUGCUAACACCACGGAUCCAUGACGGUACCAGCAGAAGAAGCACCGGCUAACUACGUGCCAGCAGCCGCGGUAAUACGUAGAGUGCAGGCGUUAAUCGGAAUUACUGGGCGUAAAGCGUGCGCAGGCGGUUUGCUAAGACAGGUGUGA